rnacentral:rRNA from 1 species
GACGAACGCUGGCGGCGUGCCUAAUACAUGCAAGUAGAACGCUGAAGGAGGAGCUUGCUCUUCUGGAUGAGUUGCGAACGGGUGAGUAACGCGUAGGUAACCUGCCUGGUAGCGGGGGAUAACUAUUGGAAACGAUAGCUAAUACCGCAUAAGAGUAGAUGUUGCAUGACAUUUACUUAAAAGGUGCAAUUGCAUCACUACCAGAUGGACCUGCGUUGUAUUAGCUAGUUGGUGGGGUAACGGCUUACCAAGGCGACGAUACAUAGCCGACCUGAGAGGGUGAUCGGCCACACUGGGACUGAGACACGGCCCAGACUCCUACGGGAGGCAGCAGUAGGGAAUCUUCGGCAAUAGACGGAAGUCUGACCGAGCAACGCCGCGGGAGUGAAGAAGGUUUUCGGAUCGUAAAGCUCUGUUGUAAGAGAAGAACGAGUGUGAGAGUGGAAAGUUCACACUGUGACGGUAUCUUACCAGAAAGGGACGGCUAACUACGUG